GCAACACUGGGCCCAUGCAGUGGGAAACUGCACCCUGACCAUUUUGCAGAUGAGUAAAGUGGGGUUGGCCGAGGUUCAGUCACUGGCCCAAGAUCAUGGAGUAAGUGGUGGGACUGAGGGCUGCAGCCGGCCUCUUCACCUCCGCCUCUGUCCUGCCCCCGGCCUGGCGUGUUCAAGCAGUCGUUCAACAGUAGCUCUCAUUAUUAGUAACAUUUAACCUUUCUAUUGCUUUGAAUUUUUUCAUCUCUUUUAAGUAAUGCUUUAUUAUAUACUUUUGGGCAUUUUGGGCUUUUCUCUGCUUUCAGAUUAUGUCCUUUGGAUAGUGUCCCAAGAGUGGAAUUAACUGGGAGAACUGGGGCCCAGGGAGCUGAGGUGACUUGCCUAAGGGCAGGCACAUGUAAGCAGUGGUGGUUGAAGCAGGGCUGCCCUGUAUAGUUGUAUAGGUUGUUCACAUCACAAGGGCAGCGGGCUUCCCAAAGGAGGCCCACUAGGAAGUCAGCCUUGGUCAGGGUUUGGAAAGCUAGGAGGAAUGAAGGAGAUGGAUGUGAGGGGACUCCAUGGGAAACCUAUCUCACAAAUAAAUGCUAAGCUCCUACUGAAUACAGGUGGCCUUCCACUGUGGAUACAACAGUGGAUCAGCCCAUCUGAUCCCUGCUCUCAUGGAAUGGAUACUUUCUCACAUGUGUGGGGAAGACAGUUGAUGAAUAAAGAAAUUGAGUAAAACAAUAAUGGAUUGAAAUAAAUAUCAGGAAAAAAACCAAACAGAUGCUUGAGUCUGUCCCGUCCGGCAGGACACAUCAACGUGGGCAGCGAACCUAGAUGGGGAGGAAUGAAGGGACAAGAGACACAGAAGGAUGACA
rnacentral:lncRNA from 1 species